rnacentral:rRNA from 1 species
UACAGGAGGGUGCGAGCGUUAAUCGGAAUUACUGGGCGUAAAGCGCACGUAGGCGGCUUUGCAAGUUAGAGGUGAAAGCCCGGGGCUCAACUCCGGAAUUGCCUUUAAAACUGCAUCGCUAGAAUUGUGGAGAGGUAAGUGGAAUUCCGAGUGUAGAGGUGAAAUUCGUAGAUAUUCGGAAGAACACCAGUGGCGAAGGCGACUUACUGGACACAUAUUGACGCUGAGGUGCGAAAGCGUGGGGAGCAAACAGGG